rnacentral:lncRNA from 12 species
UUGCUCCUGUCUUAGAAGGCUAUGUGUUACAGAUGUGAAAGGAUAAAUUCACCCCUGUGGUUGAUAUUUAUGGGAAUGCAAGGUGACGGGUAAGUUGAUGCACUCCUUCUAAGUAUUUGACCCACAAAUGUAGCCAGACACUUAAAAAUAAAAUCUGUGUUUCCUCACUGUGUGGUUAUAUUAAUAUCAGACUAAGUGACUUCAAGACAAGGAGUAGUGCCAGAAAUAAAGCGGGCAUUUCAUAAUGAUAAAAGGGUCGGUUUAUCAGGAAGACAUUUUUAAUGUGUAUUUGUCUAAUACAAAUACAAGUCUCAAAAUCUGUGAAGCGAAGAUGUACUUAAAUCCACAAUCAUAGUUGGGCAUUUUUAAUACUCUACUCUUAAUAAUUGAUAGAACAUAUAGACAAAAAAAUUUGAUAAGGGUAGAGAACUUUUGGUACUGUCAAUAGUCUUGGCUGAAACAGUAUUUUAUAAAACAUUUCACCCAACACUGCAGGAUACACUUUCUUUUCACGUAUAUAUGGGAAGCUGACCAAGGUAGACAAUAGUGUAGACUGAAAAAUAAGUAUCAACACAUUUUUUUUUAAAAGGGAAAUUGUCCAGAGUAUAUUCUCUAACCACAAUAGGAUUACAUUAGAAAUAAAUGAUAUAAAAAAAUGCUAAAUAUUUUGAGAUUAAAAAAGGGUAUGUUUUAUGAAUAAGAUCUCAACUCUUAGAAAGAAUGCCAGCAAAGCAAUUUAUUCAACUCUGUGAAUUCCAGGUAGGUAAGGAAAAAUCACUAAACUGAUGAAGAAAAUUAAUGCUCAAAACCAAGUAAUCCUUUUCAAAUUUAUAAGUAAUAGGUCUCAGUAAAGUUAUCUUCUAUAUUGCCUUUAACUGAUGGCUGGUUGCAUCAAAAAUGAUGUAUUUAGCAUUAUAAAUAAUCCUUUCAGAUAUGUUAGGAUUACUUAGGUAAAUACUCAAUGUUACUUCUCAUGGUCCCAUCUUCUUUUAAAACAGCUGGAAUCUCAAAGACCUCCUGGAGCCUCACAGGGCGUUGCCAAUCAUCUUGGAAAUGGAGCCAACCUUGCCCUUCGGGGCCUUUAUGCCAAACAAGCCUACAUUGUCUGCAUCAAAAGGACAGAAGAUUACAGAAUAAAAACAGAAAAAGGAGAAGAAGAUUACUGGCACACUCCAGGCUGUUGACCAUCUGUAGUGGAAGGACAAAGAUUCUAUUCUCAGUUCCACUGGGCUUGGGAAGAGACACAACUGCCUAG